CUCCUCCUUUGCCUUUGCCGUUUUUAUCGAUAACUAUCUACAAACAAACUGGUAACAACACUAUCGCUCGGCGACAGCAACUUCUCGGAAAUAGACUCGGAUCAGUUGCUCGACCGAUCCGCAUAUUGUAUGAGGGCGAGCGGCCUGUGUUGCAAAGAGUAUAAUAAUAUAUAGGGAAACUGUGUUGUUAAACAAAUCCGAAACAACACGGACGAUAACAUUUGUAAUUUUUAAGUUUAAAAAAGGAUUAAAAGAAGUAUUCAGUAAUAAUAUGAUUAAAAAAUACUUACAUAUGAAAGGUAACGCCAUCGUUUAGUAAAUUUGACGUGGCAAAUCUCUUUUUCAAUCAAUUGCGCAAAUAGAUUUCGUCUAGUGAUCAAUGCGGCUGCAACUAGUCCAUUUCAUCUAUUCAGAGAGAGCUGAGAUUUUAGAAUAUUUAAUAAUUUUAAUGUGUAAUCAAAUUAUUAUACAUAGCUCUGCAUUAUAUUUUAAGUUAUAUAGUUAGCUAGCAAGUUUAGAUGUAAAUUUUUAUAAAAAUUAUUGUAAUUAACAUUUUUAUUUUUCAUUUUAUUCCAGGUCCAGUAACAGUGCAAGAAGAUUUACAUGGUAAAAAUAGACAUUCACAGCACCCUCAGAUUAUACCAAAAGUGUCAGCAAUUAGUUUAACAGAUCAGUUUCAGUUGAGACACUGCAUCAUUGCUUCAUUUUAUGGGCGAAAUUAGGUCCAGAGACUCCAACAUCUGAGCACCACAAAAAGUGGAUAGAAGCAAUAAAAAAAUUUAAAUCCAUGUAAUUUGUAAAUCCUGCUGGGAAAGUAUAUGCAUAUGUUCCCAUUGUAAAUAAUUGGGUAUGGACACUAGAAGCAAUUGAAGUCUGACUAAAAAAAAACCUAAUUUAUUAUGUUACAUCUGUCUGGUUGCGGCACUUAAACCAAGACCCAUUAGAAAAUGGCGCUAUUCGAAGCCUUGGGUGUCGUAACAACAACUCAACUUAUGAUCAGUUUGAAAACUCCUAUGCCACCUUAGUGGUUAUUAAUUUGAACUGUGGCUACAUCCAUGGAAAAAAUUGUGACUUCUGAGAAAAGGGGACUUCUGUGAUGCACUACCUACAUUAUUAAUCACAGAAAAUAUUGACACCAAGUUGACUGAAACUCUGGACUUUUGGACUUUAUAGACAUGGAGCUAGUUUCCAUUCAGGAAUUAGGAAAUAAUCCUACUAUUAUGGCACCCCUGAAAUAUGUAAAUGGUUAUUCUUUUAAAAAAACUGAUAAGUAAAAUCUUCAAGUAAUGCCAUAUAUGCACAAGUAUGGCACCAGAAGGCCAUGAGAGCAUAUAUAUUAAAUUCCGAGAGUAUGCAGGUUGACGUUGGCUUUGCUAUCCCAGCAGUGAUUUUAAUAAAUCAUAUUUUUAUGAAAUCCUAAAAAAGAAUAUUUAUAGGAAAUUGCUUAAGGAAUAUUUAAAAACUGCUGUAUUAACCAUAGCCAAUUUUAAUGUACCAUUCACCCGUUGUACAGAACACCGAGAAAAAAAUAUUGAUUUCAUAAUAAAUCUAGUUAAUAAGAUUUAUGAUUUAUAAUUAUUGUAAUAAUAUAAAUAAAAUAAUAACGGGUAAAAUAAAAACUUACGAUGUAAAGAACCAUUUUCAAUUAAAAGCAAAACUUGAUGAUAGUGGUUCUUAAUUUCUGUUUUUGGCUAUUUUCGUUGUGAUUUUGUAGGGUGUAAUUUUUUUGUCUUUUGAAAUAAACGAUUGUUAAAUUUUAUUUAUUUAUAUAUAAUUUAUAUUAAUUAAUGUAUAUUUUAUUAUGAUAUUUUAUUCCUAAUUUUUAUUUAUUUUGAUUAUGAUAAUUGUUAUUUAUUUUUGAUAUUGAUUGAUUAUUUUAGUUAUGAUGAUGAGUGUCACUUUUUAUUUAUUUACUAGCUAACUCGGCAAACGUUGUCUUGCGCUAUUUAAUAAUAGGGGUUGGUGGUAGAAGGGUGAAAAUUUAGGGUUGUAUGUAUUUUUCAAUGCCAAAUCAUAAUAAAAUAAAGAAAAAAAUAUUUUAUCUAAAAAUUAAAAAAAAAAUUAGGGGUGGACUACCCUUAACAUUAAGGGGGAUAAAAAAUAGAUAUUGUUCGAUGUUUAGACCUACCUAAUAUGCACACAAAAUUUUAUGAGAAUCGGUCAAGCCGUUUCGGAGGAGUUUAACUACAAACACUGCGACACGAGAAUUUUAUAUAUUAGAUUACAAAUAUUGAACUUAAUUAAUGUAUAUGUGAAGUUCAAAUAUUUUAAUUAUUUGUAAUUUUUUGUGUUUUUAAUCCAUGUAUUCAUUUCAUCAUUCAUGUAUUAAUUUGUUUAAUUUUAAAUUGUUUAGGUGUAUAUUGUGUUUUGAAAUAAAUAAAUCUUCUAAAUAUAUAUAAGAGAUUUCCACCUAUAUAUUGACUCA
rnacentral:misc_RNA from 1 species